rnacentral:rRNA from 1 species
GACGAACGCUGGCGGCGUGCUUAACACAUGCAAGUCGAACGGAAAGGCCCUGCUCUUGUGGGGUGCUCGAGUGGCGAACGGGUGAGUAACACGUGAGUAACCUGCCCUUGACUUUGGGAUAACUUCAGGAAACUGGGGCUAAUAUCGGAUAGGAUCUCCUGCUGCAUGGUGGGGGUUGGAAAGUUUCGGCGGUUGGGGAUGGACUCGCGGCUUAUCAGCUUGUUGGUGGGGUAGUGGCUUACCAAGGCUUUGACGGAUAGCCGGCCUGAGAGGGUGACCGGCCACAUUGGGACUGAGAUACGGCCCAGACUCCUACGGGAGGCAGCGGUGGGGAAUAUUGCACAGUGGGCGGAAGCCUGAUGCAGAAACGCCGCGUGCGGGAUGACGGCCUUCGGGUUGUGAACCGCUUUCGCCUGUGACGAAGCGUGAGUGACGGUAAUGGGUAAAGAAGCACCGGCUAACUACGUG